UACGGGGGGAGCAAGCGUGGUUCGGAUUUACUGGGCGUAAAGGGCGCGUAGGCGGUCAGCACAAGUCAGUUGUGAAAUCUCCGGGCUUAACUCGGAAAGGUCAACUGAUACUGUGCGACUAGAGUGCAGAAGGGGCAACUGGAAUUCUCGGUGUAGCGGUGAAAUGCGUAGAUAUCGAGAGGAACACCUGCGGCGAAGGCGGGUUGCUGGGCUGACACUGACGCUGAUGCGCGAAAGCCAGGGGAGCGAACGGG
rnacentral:rRNA from 1 species